rnacentral:rRNA from 1 species
UACGUAGGGUGCGAGCGUUAAUCGGAAUUACUGGGCGUAAAGCGUGCGCAGACGGUUUUGUAAGCCAGAUGUGAAAUCCCCGGGCUUAACCUGGGAAUGGCAUUUGGGACUGCAAGGCUCGAGUGCGGCAGAGGAGACUGGAAUUCCUGGUGUAGCAGUGAAAUGCGUAGAUAUCAGGAGGAACACCGAUGGCGAAGGCAGGUCUCUGGGCUGACACUGACGCUCAUGCAUGAAAGCGUGGGGAGCAAACAGG